GCCCUGUUAGCUUCGGUCGGGUUAGCGGUGGACCAGAGUUAUUUUUUGACGUCAACAACGCUGCUUUUAAAGUAUAAUUCCUUCGUGAACAGGUCUUUCUACAAACAUGUCUGGAGUCCAGCAGCUGACGUACAUAUUGAAACUACAGCACACACCUGCUGAUGAAGGAAUGAUCACAGACCAGGAAGAAGAAAUGUGUCAUUUAAAAGAAGAGAACAAAAGAGACAUGCAGCCGUUGUUGGUGAUUAAAGAAGAAACUCUC